AGCUGGCAGAAACGUUAGUACGCCGGGCGAAAUGUUUACCGGUAUUUCGUCUGCCGUUACGUUCUGAGUUCAAAUUCCGCAGAAGUCGGCUUUGCUUUUCAUCCUUUCGGGGCUGAUAAAUUAAGUACCCAUUACGUACUGGGGAUCGAUCCAAUCGACUAACACCCUCUCCCAAAAUUUCGGGCCUUGU